rnacentral:rRNA from 1 species
UUGACCUCAAAUCAGGUAGGACUACCCGCUGAACUUAAGCAUAUCAAUAAGCGGAGGAAAAGAAACUAACAAGGAUUCCCCUAGUAACUGCGAGUGAAGCGGGAAAAGCUCAAAUUUAAAAUCUGGCGGUCUUGCGGCCGUCCGAGUUGUAAUCUGGAGAAGCGUUUAUCCGCGUCGGACCGUGUACAAGUCUUCUGGAAGGGGGCGUCGUAGAGGGUGAGAAUCCCGUCUUUGACACGGACAACCGGUGCUUUUGUGAUGCGCUCUCGAAGAGUCGAGUUGUUUGGGAAUGCAGCUCAAAAUGGGUGGUAAA